AUUGGGCCCGACGUCGCAUGCUCCCGGCCGCCAUGGCGGCCGCGGGAAUUCGAUUAGAGUUUGAUCAUGGCUCAGAUUGAACGCUGGCGGCAGGCCUAACACAUGCAAGUCGAACGGUAACAGGAUAGCUUGCUAUCGCUGACGAGUGGCGGACGGGUGAGUAAUACUUAGGGAUCUGCCUCUGUGUGGGGGAUAACUAUUGGAAACGAUAGCUAAUACCGCAUAAUGUCUACGGACCAAAGCGGGCUUCGGCUCGUGCGCAGAGAGGAACCUAAGCGAGAUUAGCUAGUUGGUGAGGUAAAGGCUCACCAAGGCGACGAUCUCUAGCUGUUCUGAGAGGAAGAUCAGCCACACUGGAACUGAGACACGGUCCAGACUCCUACGGGAGGCAGCAGUGGGGAAUAUUGCACAAUGGGGGAAACCCUGAUGCAGCCAUGCCGCGUGUGUGAAGAAGGCCUUCGGGUUGUAAAGCACUUUCAGUUGUGAGGAAAGUUUAGUAGUUAAUACCUGCUAGAUGUGACGUUAGCAACAGAAGAAGCACCGGCUAACUCCGUGCCAGCAGCCGCGGUAAUACGGAGGGUGCGAGCGUUAAUCGGAAUUACUGGGCGUAAAGCGCACGCAGGCGGUCUGUUAAGCUAGAUGUGAAAGCCCCGCGCUCAACGUGGGAGGGUCAUUUAGAACUGGCAGACUAGAGUCUUGGAGAGGGGAGUGGAAUUCCAGGUGUAGCGGUGAAAUGCGUAGAGAUCUGGAGGAACAUCAAUGGCGAAGGCAACUCCCUGGCCAAAGACUGACGCUCAUGUGCGAAAGUGUGGGUAGCGAACAGGAUUAGAUACCCUGGUAGUCCACACCGUAAACGCUGUCUACUAGCUGUUUGUGAAUUUAAUUCGUGAGUAGCGAAGCUAACGCGAUAAGUAGACCGCCUGGGGAGUACGGCCGCAAGGUUAAAACUCAAAUGAAUUGACGGGGGCCCGCACAAGCGGUGGAGCAUGUGGUUUAAUUCGAUGCAACGCGAAGAACCUUACCUACUCUUGACAUACUAGAAACUUUUCAGAGAUGAAUUGGUGCCUUCGGGAAUCUAGAUACAGGUGCUGCAUGGCUGUCGUCAGCUCGUGUCGUGAGAUGUUGGGUUAAGUCCCGCAACGAGCGCAACCCUUGUCCUUAGUUGCCAGCCUUAAGUUGGGCACUCUAAGGAGACUGCCGGUGACAAACCGGAGGAAGGUGGGGACGACGUCAAGUCAUCAUGGCCCUUACGAGUAGGGCUACACACGUGCUACAAUGGCGAGUACAAAGGGAUGCGAACCUGCGAAGGUAAGCGGACCCCUUAAAGCUCGUCGUAGUCCGGAUUGGAGUCUGCAACUCGACUCCAUGAAGUCGGAAUCGCUAGUAAUCGUAGGUCAGCAUACUACGGUGAAUACGUUCCCGGGCCUUGUACACACCGCCCGUCACACCAUGGGAGUGGGAUGCAAAAGAAGUAGGUAGCUUAACCUUCGGGAUGGCGCUUACCACUUUGUGUUUCAUGACUGGGGUGAAGUCGUAACAAGGUAAAUCACUAGUGAAUUCGCGGCCGCCUGCAGGUCGACCAUAUGGGAGAGCUCCCAACGCGUUGGAUGCAUAGCUUGAGUAUUCUA
rnacentral:rRNA from 1 species